UACGUAGGGUGCAAGCGUUAAUCGGAAUUACUGGGCGUAAAGCGUGCGCAGGCGGUUGUGCAAGACCGAUGUGAAAUCCCCGGGCUUAACCUGGGAAUGGCAUUGGUGACUGCACGGCUAGAGUGUGUCAGAGGGGGGGUAGAAUUCCACGUGUAGCAGUGAAAUGCGUAGAUAUGUGGAGGAAUACCGAUGGCGAAGGCAGCCCCCCUGGGCUAAGAUUGACGCUCAUGCACGAAAGCGUGGGGGAGCAAACAGG
rnacentral:rRNA from 1 species